UACGGAGGGUGCAAGCGUUGUCCGGAAUUAUUGGGUGUAAAGGGUGUGCAGGCGGGGCUGUAAGUCAGGGGUGAAAGCCUACGGCUCAACCGUAGAAUUGCCUUUGAUACUGCAGUCCUUGAGUCCCGGAGAGGCCACUAGAAUUCGUGGUGUAGCGGUGAAAUGCGUAGAUAUCACGAGGAAUACCAGAAGCGUAGGCGGGUGGCUGGACGGGUACCGACGCUGAGGCACGAAAGCGUGGGGAGCAAACAGG
rnacentral:rRNA from 1 species